GGCUAACUUGAGCAACUCGUGCUCGGAUUGAAAGGAUAACUCGCUUACUGUCCAUGAUGAUGAUGGAACGAUAGAAAUGCCAAAUCUUUUCCAAAAGUCCAUUCCACAUAUUAUAUCCUGUUGGAUAGAUGAAACUAUUAGAAAUUCAAAGUCCGAGUGUAUUGAAUUGUAAUUCAGAGGAACUUUAAUAAAACCAGCUACAAUCUGAGUCUGACCGUCAGCAGUACGAACAACGCCUUUCAUUUUGUUUGUCAGAAGAUUUUUCGAGAGAAUUUUAUCGGCUAAUUUUCCUCCGAUGACGCUUUUAUUGGCUCCGCUAUCUAAUAGCGCAAGGUAACUCUCACCGAGUAUCUCAACUUGAGUAAAAGGACGAAUAUCGCUCGCUUUGUGAACGACCGAGGAAACAGUGACGUGACGUAGGCUUCUCUUUCGCUUCCAAAAUUCACGCAUUCGUUCCGCUGAACGAGACAACACUGCUAAAGGAGGUUUGGGAUCAAAAAUUUCGGCUCUGCGCUUCUGAUAUUCUCGAAGUCUAAUAUGGUAUGGUCUGAAAUGUAGGGGGAGUGGUAUGUCUGAGGAGGAUUUGGAUAUGUCUGGUUUAAGUUCACGUCCGGUAAUAAAAUGUGUAUGUUGAACAUCCGAGACUAACGUCGGAUGUCGCGUCUUGUUGACCGACGGACAUCCUGGGACACGUUUUCCGUAGUCGAUUUACACCUUGCACAGUUGGGCUUGUACGUAUCAGGUACACCACAACCAUAACAGAAAAUACGACGAGGUUUUAGGCAUUCCUGGUAUUUGUGGCCCUGUUCUUCGCAAUUCCAGCAUUUACUAAUUUCGGAAGAUCGGAGUGCAUAAACUUCGUCAAGGGAGUCCCCUUCUUUUUCGGAAUUAUCAUCAGCUUCUUCGUCAUGGCUAAUGGAGUUCACAAACCUCUUGCUAUUCACUACUUCGUGUCGCGAAAAAGGCUUUGACUUCAGAUUUCGAAAGAAUUCCUCGUGCUUGUGACACUCCUUGCGUAAGGUUGCCAAAUCUGGAGUUUCGAUAUGAAGCAAGUCGAGCUUCAGUUCCGACUUUAAAUUCUCGCGAACCUCUAUGGUGACGUCACCGUCCUGCAUAGGCUCUCGUAAAGAGUCUGCGAUAGAUAGCAUCGCAUCUAGAAAAUCGUCAAAGCUUUCAUUACUACCCUGUUUACGCCUACGCAUGGCUGCUUUGAUCUCUCGAUCCGAACGUUGAUCCUGGUAUCUCUCUUGCAACCGGCUGCAUAACUCAUACCAGUCAAGGUUAUUCGUGGUCCUAUGAACACGCCAGUAAAAUGACAAGGCUGAAUCAGUAAAUAAGAGACCGGCGAACUGCGCCAGUAAGGUAAAGUUUCCAUUUAAACAAUUAUUGGUAAGACAAUUCACUCUAUAAAUAAAAUCUUCGAUGGGAAUAUCUUUGGAAGAUCCACUGAAUUUUAUACGCCACUUGGAAAUGAUAUUUGAGAUCUUAUCAGGAGAUUCACUAGGAAGGUCUGUGAAAUUCGCACGAGCACUAUAUGGGCGUGGCCUGUAACUAUGGUUACGAAGAUUACUAGCGCUGCUCAUUCGAGGGAAGGAUGGAGCAAUAUCACUCUCCCAUUCAAGCUGGGGCUCCUCCCGGAAGUUCCUAGAAACAUUUGUCAGGUUCAGAUUCCUCAACUCCGUUGUUAUCUUCUCUGAAAUAACUGCGGUCAUAUUUUCCUGAAAUUUAGUCAUGGACUCUGAAAUAAGUCGUUGGAUAUUUCCUUCGGAAAGAACAUUGGAUUCCUGAGCACGUCUAGUCUGGCCAGGUCCUGGUCGAGGGUUAAGUAGUGCACUUGAGGCUUUUGGGGUAUUUCGUACCUGUGACCUUGUUUUAGGACGAUUUUUCGGAAUUGCUCCGGUGUACGACAAAUUCGC
rnacentral:lncRNA from 1 species